UACGAAGGGGGCUAGCGUUGCUCGGAAUCACUGGGCGUAAAGCGCACGUAGGCGGAUCUUUAAGUCAGGGGUGAAAUCCCGGAGCUCAACUCCGGAACUGCCUUUGAUACUGCGGAUCUUGAGUUCGAGAGAGGUGAGUGGAACUGCGAGUGUAGAGGUGAAAUUCGUAGAUAUUCGCAAGAACACCAGUGGCGAAGGCGGCUCACUGGCUCGAUACUGACGCUGAGGUGCGAAAGCGUGGGGAGCAAACAGG
rnacentral:rRNA from 1 species